CAUCUACACACCCACCAAACCAGAAAUGCUGGUAAAGAUUUGUUGAAAGCUUUGGAAGGAUCUGCCAUCGACUCCUUGACAACUGCUACUACUGGUGUUGUCAGCAAUGUCGUCACCAAUCUAGUCUCCGGUUUGACAGGUAAACUCACAGGUGUUAUAUCAAAUUUGAUAGGACAUAUUGGAAAGAGAAGUACCGGUAAAGAUUUGUUAAAAGCUUUGGAAGGAACUGCCAUUAGUUCCUUGACCACUGCUGCUACUGGUGUUGUCAGCAAUGUCGUCAACCAGCUUGUCUCAGGACUCACUGGUCAACUCACAGGGGUUGUAAGCAAUCUGC